ACAGUAACACUAUUUUUUUCCUGACAUACAAUGUAUCCACAAUGUAUCAACCUUCGUAGGUGUUUUCGACUCUUCCAAACUUUGCAGAAACGGAUCCAAUUCAUUUAACAUAUUAUAGCUUCACACGAGAGGAAACGGUGUGACGAGAGGGAGAUGGAAGAGCUGAAAGGCGAAACAACAACAUAAAUGGGUCUUUAUAGAAGCAGAAUGUUUUUGCAGUGACUCCGUGUGAAACAUGUCAUUAAGGUUUGUGCUUUAGGAGGUCUGAGGAUAUUGCAAGUGUAGCAGACUUCUGUGACAGGUUUGGGCUUUAGGAGGUCUGAGGAGAUUGCAAGUGUAGCACACUUUCUGCGACAGGUAGUACAUCUCUUUGAAUUAGUUGAGUCUCACAUAAUUAUAUAUUUUUGAAGGUAUGUGAGACUUAUGUAGUUUAAAUGUCUGGGAAACUUCUUACUUGUGUUACCACUAACCCUUCGUGGUCACAUAUGGUCACGUUCCUGUAAUUUUAUAAUUUAAUUUCGGUUGUUGUAUGAGUGUCCUACAUUUUGCAUUCUGCAUCAUGUCUUUACAGUUCUGGAUUCUGCACUCAGCAUUCUGAUGUUUGCAUUAUGCAUCAUGUCUUUAGUGUUCUGCAUUCUGCACCAUGUCUUUACCAUUAUGGAUUCUACACUCAGCAUUCUGAUGUUUGUAUUCUGGAUCAUGUAUUUACAGUUCUAGAUUCUGCAUCAUGUCCUUACAGUUCUGCAUUCUGAUGUUUGCAUUCUUCAUCAUGUCUUUACAGUUCUGCAUUCAGCAUAUGUCCUCAAAUUCUGCAUCAUGUAUCAUGUCUUUGCAAUCUUAUAGUUAAACUUGCAUGUUUGAGAAAUUAUGUCAUUAUGCGUCAUAGUUUAUAUAUACUUAAGAUUAUUGUAACAUGUUAUCUAAGUGCUAUUUACAUGAAUUCUUAAGGUACGCUGAACAAAAUAUAGAUUUGUUGUGGUACUAGUGUUUAUCCUUAGUCUCUUAGUCGUAAAGAGAUGAUGGUUUUGGAAAUCUAUUGAACUGUUGGUGUAAUUAUUUAGCAUGUGCAACAGAUCUUUCUUGAUUUCUCUAUUAUGUUUUUUUAAUACUAUAUCUAUGAUUGAUGUAA